UGGAUAGCUCAGUAGGUUAGAGCACGGUGCUGAUAACGCCAAGGUUGCAGGUUCAAUCCCCUCCAUCAUAG